rnacentral:rRNA from 1 species
CACUCCUACGGGAGGCAGCAGUGGGGAAUUUUGGACAAUGGGCGAAAGCCUGAUCCAGCAAUGCCGCGUGAGUGAAGAAGGCCUUCGGGUUGUAAAGCUCUUUUGUCAGGGAAGAAACGGUGAAAGCUAAUAUCUUUUGCUAAUGACGGUACCUGAAGAAUAAGCACCGGCUAACUACGUGCCAGCAGCCGCGGUAAUACGUAGGGUGCAAGCGUUAAUCGGAAUUACUGGGCGUAAAGCGUGCGCAGGCGGUUUUGUAAGUCUGAUGUGAAAUCCCCGGGCUCAACCUGGGAAUUGCAUUGGAGACUGCAAGGCUAGAAUCUGGCAGAGGGGGGUAGAAUUCCACGUGUAGCAGUGAAAUGCGUAGAUAUGUGGAGGAACACCGAUGGCGAAGGCAGCCCCCUGGGUCAAGAUUGACGCUCAUGCACGAAAGCGUGGGGAGCAAACAGGAUUAGAAACCCCUGUAGUCCCA